rnacentral:rRNA from 1 species
CCUACGGGAGGCAGCAGUCAGGAAUAUUGCACAAUGGGCGGAAGCCUGAUGCAGCGACGCCGCGUGAGGGAUGACGGCCUUCGGGUUGUAAACCUCUUUCAGUACAGACGAAGCGCAAGUGACGGUAUGUACAGAAGAAGCACCGGCCAACUACGUGCCAGCAGCCGCGGU